AGUCGAGUCAGUUCCUCUCUGACCUUGUAGGCGAGAGGCUGGUUGUCCGCUUUUUCUCCUCAGGAUUGGCAGCCAGCCAGCCGUAGGAUUAAACAAGGGGAAAAAGUAUUUACAUUACCUGUGUGUUCAUUGACUCAGUGUGACCCAUCACUGUCGAGGGAGGAAAAGUGUGUGAGUGUGGGUGUCUUCAAGUGGUUUGUGGGAGCAACAGCAGUGACAAGGAGCUGAGAAGAGGAGAGAAGAGAUGUCAACUUCUCUUGCCCCUCGCCGUGUUGAGAUGUGGAGGAGAUGGCGGCUCGUGGUGGUCGUACUCAUAUUAUCUUUGUUUGAAAACCAUGUCAGCGCCUUCGAUAUCAUCAGCACCUUGAGGCUACGAAAGUGUUUUUGCGACAAGUUCCAGGCGUGGGAUGGUACCAAGUGCCUCGACAACAUCCCCACAGCUCUCCCCAUUUAUAAUCACACCUUCGAUGGACCCCAAAAACAUGUAAUUGACGUGCAGAGGUAUGCAAAGGGCUAUAACACAAGCUUGUUUGAAAAUGUGACAGUUCAAGAUAUACACUGUUCCAAGGGUCUUUACCGCAGUACUCUCUCCGGUGACAUCCUUCUACUGCCCGACGGUCGGCUGCUGCGGCUGAAUACUAACACUGCUCUACCAGCGGAGAGUUUCUGUGUCCUGCACCUUUGGAAAAACGGCAUCAUGUCCUUUGAUGCUCAUGUCUGCCUACGACCCCCGGCUGUACCACGCUGCUGCCCGAUGGACCACCUUCUGGGGCGGGAUGGAUCAUGCUACUCCAAGAAGACCCUCAAGGCACCACCGAUCCUGAUAGGCGAGCAUGAGAUGGACUGGAACAGCUUGGAUGGUGAUAUGAUACCUCAAACGUGUGAAGAGCAUGAAUACCACCACUAUGUCCAUUUGCGAGAGGACGGGGGGCAGUUACGAGACACUCAUCCAACGGCUACACUAAACUGGAGCCCUCCGGUGUGGACAGCAUCCCUGACCUAUGCCACCAAGUACUGCGUAGCGAUGCAGGAAGGAGAGGCCGGUGAGUUGGAGUUCGUAGCGCAAAUUUGCUUCAAGGACUACUCAAAGUACCACGAGAAGCAGUGCGGGGCUGCUGCGUGUGUCCGUAAGUGUUGCCCAGAGAAUGCGCUGCUAUACCAUAGGGUGUGUGUGGAUGCCUUCUCCGAGGAGGAGAAAUGGCGCCCGUCCCAGAUACCAAAUCAGACGAUCAACAAAGAGUGGAAGAUUGUGACCGGUGAGCCUGGUUGUCCAAGCUUACCGCAUCAAGAGCCCAUGCACCUCCUGCCCAACGGCUUCCUGCAGCUGGCCGCUGACAUUCCCGCCGUGCCUCCCUCACAGUAUUGCGUUGAUAACCUCCUUGACGCAGAAGAGAACAUAGACAACAUAGCUCUCAUUUGUUCCUUGCCAGCCAAUACUGAAUGUCUCUGGCGUGAUAAGCUGAUAAAGGUCUUGAUGGGGGUGUCAUGUGUGUUCCUGGUGGUGACGCUGGGGGUGUACCUGGGUGUGGCUGAGCUCAGGGACCAAAUGUACGGCCGCUGCCUCAUCUCACUGGUGGCCGCGAUGCUCACAGCCUACAUCGGCCUCAUGAUCGACGCUAGAUACAUCCUCGAGGCUGAGUGCUAUGCUAAGGCAUUUAUCGUCCACCUGAGUAGCCUGGCCAUGUUCUUCUGGCUCAACGUGAUGUGCUUUGAUAUGUGGAAGAUUCUCAGAGGUUCAACAAGACAACACCAUAGUUUAGGAGUCUUCCUGUGGUACAGCGUGUAUGCCUGGGGUUGCUCUCUGGUGAUCAGCAUUGUCACUCUUGCCUUGGAUGUUGCCCCCCCUACUGCGAACCUCAUCCUCCCUGAGUACUACGAUGGGGCCUGCUGGUUCAAUGAAAAUGCAGCGUACUGGCUCUACUUCUCUGGCUUCAUCUUGGUGUUAGUAGUGAUUAACGUUGGAUUCUUCAUCCAUGUGGCCAUCACCCUCUAUAAGAAGAUUAAGCAGAGGUCGGAAUUCUUUGAGGCAGGCGGGAACCAGACUAACAAGACCACCAAGACCAAGCAGAGAGUGUGGCUGUUUGCGAAGCUGUUUGUGGUGAUGGGUGUGCUGUGGAUCACAGAUGUCCUCUCUGCCGUAGGGCACAGAAAAACAUGCACUUACUGGGUUUUGUCGGACAUUAUCAAUAGCCUGCAGGGAGUCUUCAUUUUUAUUGUAGCAGUGUGCAACAAGGACAAUCUGAAAAAGAUAAAGGACGCGUGGCGGCCACGACUAAAGGUCGUACGCAAUAGUAUCCCCAACUUGACCUCUCGCAGACCCACUCAGUCCAACACUCUGAGCACUUAUGACACUGAGGAUUCCAGGAAGACAUCUGUUACCUCCCUCCCUCGGAAGAUCUCCCAAGCUUCCACCAUCCUCUUUAGCUCUAGCAAGAAGUCUGCCACCCUAAACCUACAACCUGAUUCCUCCAUCAACCCCAAGGGUGAACGCAAGGGCUCCAAUGUGUCUAUUAAGGAUGUUAUUCCACUGUCAACCAUGCAAGAGUAAAGCUGAAAAGUGAAGGAGAGGAUGAGAAUUUAUAGUAAGUCAAUAUCACUAUCAUUGUUGUUUUCAUAUGUGCCAUUUGACUGUAGUAUAAUUAUAUGUCGACUAUGUAUUGCUUGAUCCAUAAGAUUUCCCACUGUCACACCACUGUUGAUAAGCUAGAGUAGAUUUCAAGGUAAGAAUUAGUCUGAAAUAAGUAAGCUAAGGUAUAAGUUAGAUAUUUUCAAUACAAGGGUUUGAUAAAUACCUUUUUAUGACAAUAGUUAACUUUAAGUUUAAUACCUUAGCUCACGUGCUCAGAAAAAAAUAUUCCAAGGUGGGAGCACUAAUUGGAAAGGUGCAUACAGUUUGGUAAAUAUAUUGUUACGAAACCUGCCUUGUCCUCCGGUUUCGCGUACACCCUGGCCUCCUGCAGCCAGCCACGGGUUCGUUGUGGGUGGCGGUGGUGACGAAUCCGUACCCCUAGUGACGAGCUGACCAGUGACUCACCUCCUUCUCCAGCCCUGCAUUACACCUCGCCCGGCCACGUGUCUCGCCCCCGCCCGCCACCCUCUCACGCGUGUCCCGCCAGGCCAGAGGGCAGCAUUUAAUCUACCAAUCUUUCUGCCUGGAGUAUUAUGUUGGUUGCUCCUAACAGAAGGACCAAAAAUUGCAGAGCCAUUACCUCUACAUAGAUAUACUUCCAUGGUAUAGUGGUUAACACGCCUAGCUAUGAAUCAAUGGGCCAAGGUUUGAAACCUGACUUUGGCAGUCAAUGUGCAGCUCACCCAGCGUCCUCCGUUUUGAACUGAUCAAUAAAUGGAUAUCUGGAGAAACCUAAGGAAGAGAAAUUGCAGUAACCUGGAAAUCACACUGACCCUGUGUCCUGUGUCCUGUGGUAAUAGAUCAGUGAGGCUGGGAUGAGUACCAGGUCAUGUGUAGUUUAGUGUAUGCCCCCAACUGUACGUUUACUUUGCCUUUGCUUUCAAAGUCCAUCAUUGUUUGUGUCUAAUACUCCUUUGUAUUUUUUAAUUUUUUUUUACAGAAAAGGAGACAGUUCAAGGACGUGAAAAAAAAAACAAUAAUGAAAAAAAAGCCCACUACUUACUGCUCCCAAAUAGAGUACAUAGGAGUGGCCAAAAAGAGAGGUCAAUUUCAGGAGGAGAGGUGUCCUGAUACCCUCCCCUUGAAAGAGUUCAAGUUGUAAGCACGAGGAAAUACAGAUGAAGGAAGAUUGUUCCAGAGUUUACCAGCGUGAGGGAUGAAAGAGUGAAGAUGCUGGUUAACUCUUGCGUAAAGGGUUUGGACAGUAUAAGGAUGAGCUUGAUUAGAAAGUCGUGUGAGGCGAGACCGCGGGAAAGGGGGAGGCAUGCAGUUAGCAAGUUCAGAAGAGCAAUUCGUGUAAAAAUAUCGAUAGAAGAUAGAGAGGCAACAUCGCGACGGAAUUUAAGAGGUAGAAGAUUAUCAGUAAGAGGAGGAGAGCUGAUGAGAUGAAAAGUCUUAGACUCCACUCUGUCCAAUAGAGCUGUGUGAGUGGAGCCCCCCCAUACGUGAAAUGCAUACUCCACACGAGGGCGGACAAGGCCCCUGUAUAUGGAUAGCAAUUGUUCGGGGGAGAAGAACUGGCGGAGACGAUACAGAACGCCCAACCUCGAGGAAGCUGAUUUAGUGAGAGAGGAGAUGUGAAGUUUCCAGUUAAGAUAUUGAGUUAAGGAUAGACCAAGGAUAUUUAGUGUUGAAGAAGGUGACAGCUGAGUGCUGUUGAAGAAUAGGGGAUAGAUGUAUGGAAGAUUGUGUCGAGUUGAUAGGUGGGGAAAUUGAGUUUUUGAGGCAUUGAAGGACACAAGGUUCCUUCUACCCCAAUUGGAAAUGAUAGCAAGGUCUGAGGUUAAGCGUUCUGCAGCGUUCAUGCCACCUUUGUUUGUUAUAGAGUUGUUUCUGUGUGACUGAUUUAAAAGCUGAUGUUGCUGUUUGCUAGUAGAAUUUCUUCUUUUCUGUUUAUAAGGCCUAGUGUGUAUUAACUCUCUUGACCCUUUGUCUGUGUGUAAUUUAGGUACUUGUAAUCUGCUGUCAUUGUAAUUUGGUGGAACAGCUUAAUGUCUUAAUAUUGUGUUUGUGUUUUCACCAUUAAGUCUUUCACAAAAUUAUUCCUCACCAAGUAUUUCUAUUAAACUCACCAUUUUAUAUCCAAAUCUUAUGUAGAUCAUGUAUUUUAUUUUGUUUAGUUUACAGUCCACAUGCUAUUGAUUUAGUAUGUAAUUUCAUAUUGACUUGAAUAACCUAUUUUAACCUGUUCAUUUAUUGUUACUCUACAGGAGACAAACUGAAUGCAAGAAAUAGAAAAGUAUGUAAAAAUGCUCCUGUUAAGAGAAAACAGGACCUUGUCAGAGAAAAGUUGUACAAAACGACCAAUGCCAGUAACUAGUUUAAUGUGUAAUCAUCAUGUAAUUUUCUACCUUUGAUAAGCUAUUUUUGUUUUAUCAAAUGUGGUGCCUUCUCCAAAAAUUCACAUUCUCUUGAUGAUCAA